UACAGAGGUCUCAAGCGUUGUUCGGAUUCAUUGGGCGUAAAGGGUGCGUAGGUGGCGCUGUAAGUCGGGUGUGAAAUUUCGGAGCUUAACUCCGAAACUGCAUUCGAUACUGCGGUGCUUGAGGACUGGAGAGGAGACUGGAAUUCAUGGUGUAGCAGUGAAAUGCGCAGAUAUCAGGAGGAACACCGGUGGCGAAGGCGGGACUCUGGGCCGAUACUGACGUGAGGAAGCGAAAGGCGUGGGGAGGCG
rnacentral:rRNA from 1 species